UACGUAGGGCGCAAGCGUUGUCCGGAAUUAUUGGGCGUAAAGAGCUCGUAGGCGGUUUGUCGCGUCUGCUGUGAAAUCCCCGAGGCUCAACCUCGGGCUUGCAGUGGGUACGGGCAGACUAGAGGUAGGUAGGGGAGAAUGGAAUUCCCGGUGUAGCGGUGAAAUGCGCAGAUAUCGGGAGGAACACCGGUGGCGAAGGCGGUUCUCUGGGCCUUACCUGACGCUGAGGAGCGAAAGCGUGGGGAGCGAACAGG
rnacentral:rRNA from 1 species